rnacentral:rRNA from 1 species
CUGCUGCCUCCCGUAGGAGUCUGGUCCGUGUCUCAGUACCAGUGUGGGGGACCUUCCUCUCAGAACCCCUACGCAUCGUUGCCACGGUGGGCCGUUACCCCGCCGUCUAGCUAAUGCGCCGCAUGUCCAUCCUCUUCCGAUGAAUCUUUCCUCGAUCUCGGAUGCCCGAAACCGAUAUACGCGGGAUUAGCCUCCCUUUCGGAAGGUUGUCCCCCUGAAGAGGGCAGGUUGCAUACGUGUUACUCACCCGCGCGCCGGUCG